rnacentral:lncRNA from 1 species
CAAAACUCUGGAACUCACAUUCUACGAACUCAAAACCACAACAUCAUCCAGAUUCAUGCCUCCCUUAUUUAAGAUUUUCCUUUUAUUUUCUCUCAUACUCUUUCUCUUGACAAUUUCAGGUGAGCAAUAGUUAAGUUAUCGAUCUACACAUGCAUCAAGAUACUGUCAAUAAGUUAUGCUAUACUAUUAUGAAACUAAGAAUAAUACGAACUCUUAAUUAUCUUGUAGGAAACGUGCUGGAAAGCUUUGAAGAUCAUAUAACCACAUCUCCAGUUCAUGAGGUAGCUAGUUAACGGUGUAUGCAUUUACGACAAACAUGCUAGUUAACAUGCAUCUGACUCAAAAUUUUAGCCACAACUCGAUAAAUGUUCUGCAGACUGUUAGCAAUUUGCAUUAGGCACAUGUUGUACAUCCCUUUGUCAAAUUUGGGGAUACGAUGCAAGUGGAAAUUGAACUUUCAUUUAGGAAAAAUGUAUAUAUAAGAUCAAGAAAAGGAAUAAUCUAAGUGUAGCUUUGAUUACAUAUUUUGCAUGCACGAUUAGUGUGAACAUAUGCAUAAUAUCUUGAAUUCGAUUCGUGCCUUGUGACUAAUCAAGUUCUAUACAUGGAAUGUUUAUUAAUAUUGAAGGUUAUGAUGAAUAUGAAAACAAGAAAGCUCAAGGCUGUUGAUAUAGUGUUGGACUAUGACUAUGGAGGGGCAAAUCAAAGGCACGACCCAAGGAAAGGGAGAGGUGGAGGUGGCGGCAAGGUCCCCUGACUUGGUCAUUCCCCGAUCACUUAAAUGUUGUCUCAGAGAGAUUUUGACAUUAUAUAUAUGCAUUUAAUAUCAUAAAAGCUAUAAGUAAUAUCUGUAAAAUUCCUCUGGCUAUAUAGAAGGUUAUGGUACAAUCUAUGUACUAAUUAGUUUGUCUAAUUAAGCUUUUUCAAGGCUAGAAUUGUCUUAUAAUAUGAUCGAUCAAGAGAACAUAUUGUUGUGUGGGUUGCUUCUAAAAUAAU